rnacentral:misc_RNA from 1 species
UCCCGGUUGGCCCGGGCGGUCUCGUAUGAAAAAUUCAACAUACGAUAGGGGUUGCGCUCGUUGCGGGACUUAACCCAACAUCUCACGACACGAGCUGACGACGGCCAUGCAACACCUGUCACUAGGUUCCCGAAGGCACUCCACUGUUUCCAGCGGAUUCCUAGGAUGUCAAGCCUUGGUAAGGUUCUUCGCGUAGCGUCGAAUUAAACCACAUCAUCCUCUGCUUGUGCGGGUCCCCGUCAAUUCCUUUGAGUUUUAAGCUUGCGCUCGUACUCCCCAGGCGGCACACUUAUCGCGUUAGCUUCACAGCACAGGGGGUCGAUACCCCAUACUAUUAGUGUGCAUCGUUUACGGCGUGGACUAC